rnacentral:rRNA from 1 species
GAGCUUGACUGCGAGACCUACAAGUCGAGCAGGGUCGAAAGACGGACUUAGUGAUCCGGUGGUUCCGCAUGGAAGGGCCAUCGCUCAACGGAUAAAAGCUACCCCGGGGAUAACAGGCUUAUCUCCCCCAAGAGUUCACAUCGACGGGGAGGUUUGGCACCUCGAUGUCGGCUCAUCGCAUCCUGGGGCUGUAGUCGGUCCCAAGGGUUGGGCUGUUCGCCCAUUAAAGCGGUACGCGAGCUGGGUUCAGAACGUCGUGAGACAGUUCGGUCCCUAUCCGUCGUGGGCGUAGGAAAUUUGAGAGGAGCUGUCCUUAGUACGAGAGGACCGGGAUGGACAUACCUCUGGUGUACCAGUUGUCGUGCCAACGGCAUAGCUGGGUAGCUAUGUGUGGACGGGAUAAGUGCUGAAAGCAUCUAAGCAUGAAGCCCCCCUCAAGAUGAGAUUUCCCAACUUCGGUUAUAAGAUCCCUCAAAGAUGAUGAGGUUAAUAGGUUCGAGGUGGAAGCAUGGUGACAUGUGGAGCUGACGAAUACUAAUCGAUCGAAGACUUAAUCAA